rnacentral:rRNA from 1 species
CUGAGAGGACGAUCAGCCACACUGGGACUGAGACACGGCCCAGACUCCUACGGGAGGCAGCAGUGGGGAAUAUUGGACAAUGGGCGCAAGCCUGAUCCAGCAAUACCGCGUGUGUGAAGAAGGCCCUAGGGUUGUAAAGCACUUUCAAUGGGGAGGAAAACCUGCCGGUCAAUACCCGGUAGCUUGACAUUACCUUUAGAAGAAGCACCGGCUAACUCCGUGCCAGCAGCCGCGGUAAUACGGAGGGUGCGAGCGUUAAUCGGAAUUACUGGGCGUAAAGCGUGCGUAGGCGGUUCGUUAAGUCAGAUGUGAAAGCCCCGGGCUCAACCUGGGAACUGCAUUUGAAACUGGCGAACUAGAGUUGAGUAGAGGGGAGUGGAAUUUCAGGGUAGCGGUGAAAUGCGUAGAUAUCUGAAGGAACACCAGUGGCGAAGGCGACUCCCUGGACUCAAACUGACGCUGAGGUACGAAAGCGUGGGUAGCAAACAGGAUUAGAUACCCUGGUAGUCCACGCCGUAAACGAUGUCAACUAGCCGUUGGUCCUAUAUACAGGAUUAGUGGCGCAGCUAACGCAUUAAGUUGACCGCCUGGGGAGUACGGCCGCAAGGUUAAAACUCAAAGGAAUUGACGG